CUUAGCUCAGUUGGUAGAGCGGAGGACUGUAGUAUGGUGUAAACCUUUCAGAUAUCCUUAGGUCGCUGGUUCGAAUCCGGCAGGUCGGAUUUUUUCUUUUGCCAUUUUUUUUUACUUGUAAGGAACUUACCAUAUAAUAUACUCCUACUCUUGCAAGUGGUACAUGAAAAGAGUUUACUACCAUUUUCUUUGGUAAUAGCAGCUUAUAAUAUAUAUUUUUGUGUCAGUACAGUGAGAUUCCCUGUAAUCUCCAAUUUCUUAAUCCAGACAGAGGCUUAAGAUUUCAGUAAAAAAUCAAGACUCACAAUAACUGACUUCUCUAAAAACCAAUAUAAGAGAACAAGCACUCAACAGUCACAAAUGUCUUGAUAUACCAACCGUAUAACAAGUUUCGAGAAUAUAUACUACACAUGAUAUUUGAGGAAGAGAAAAAGGGGCACCAGGGUGGUGGAGGGGAGUGAGAGUUUAUAAAGACAAACAGGCAGCAAGAACUUUAAAACGGAUACGUAGGCAUGAAAGUGCAGAAAGAAUGCCUAGAGAACAAGUAGUGGUGCAAAAGGAAAAACACGAGAGCAAAUAACUAGAAGGAUGCAAUGCACAAAGAUCAUGAUAAUAUGGGCUUCUAUGAAGCAGAAGUAGUUGAAGAAAUAAUGUACACUUAAGUCCAAAAUGUAGAUAAAGUCACCAAACAUCUUAUAAACAACUUUAAAUGUUUAUCCCUGAACUUCAUAUUUUUAAAAAUUGUAGAUGGAAGACGAAAUUCAUUCUUGGAACUCACAAACUAAGAUCACCUUAUAAUGUUAUCAAGACUCCAAGCAUUAGAAUAAGUUCCCCUUCUUUUACCUUUUAUUGAUGAGUAAAUAAAAAAAUGCUCAUGCUCAUGCAAUAGGCAUUCUUGAUAAAUGAUAACACUGAUGGACAAUAUUCAGCAGUGCUUUGAGAGGGAAUUCAUUCUUGGAACAAAACAAGAUAGACAUUCUUUAAUGUUUUCAAAACUAUAGCAUUGGAAAGAACCAACAACAACCGACCUUAGCUCAGUUGGUAGAGCGGAGGACUGUAGUGGGGUGUAAACCUUUCAGAUAUCCUUAGGUCGCUGGUUCGAAUCCGGCAGGUCGGAUUGAUUCUUUUGCCAUGUUCUUUUUCUAUUUAUUUUUUUAAAUCAUUGUUUUAUUCUGGAGAAAAGAAGCUUGCCAUAUAAUGUACUCCCACUCUGACAACAGUAUUUAAUAUCAUUUCUUCAGCAAUAGCAACCUAUAUAAUUUUAUUGUUGUGACAGUAGUGUGAGAUUCCCUGCAAUCUCCAAUUUUAUAAUCCAGGCAGAAAACAAGCACUCAACUCUCACAAAUGUCUUGAAAUACCAAUCAUUUAUCAAAUUUCAAGAAUAUAUACAGACAUAUUAGAUUUGAUAAAGAUAGGGGAACCAGGGUGGUGGAGGGGAAGGAAAGAGUUAACAUAGACAAACAGACAACAGCUUGAAACCAAUACUAUGCAUGAAAAUGCACAAGGAAUACAUAGAGAUAAAGUAGUG